AUCAUCAUCAUCAUCCCCAUCUCCUUUUUCUAAUUCACUAAUCAAUCACUCAUUACUUUCAUCAAUAUUUGCCAAAUCAAUUGGCGUGGCUAUAUCCCCAAAGGUGUAUCAGUGUAGCAACGCUCUAUCAUACUUCACAUAAACCAAUUUGUCCAAGCAUUCUUGAAAUAGUCGAUUUCUUUUGUUACUAUGAAGCUGUCAUUAAUUUUAUAGUGACAAAUAAGUUAAACUUCAAAUUUAAAAGGUUCAAAAUAAAAUAACAAAGAAUAUUAUAUUUAAUAAAUUUUUUUUACUUAUUUGCUUAAAUACACUCCAAUUUCUCUCACAAUCACUUGCACUACAUGUGAGACUCAAAACCUUUAUGGCAAAGUUUUGUAGGCUUGGAGUUGAAGAACAAUAUGUUUUCUACCAAGUAGUUAUUAAAGUAUAGAAUUAAUGAUUGUCAAACUCAAAUUCAUAAUAUAAUUUAGUAAAUGAGUAAGAUGAAAAUUUAAUAAGAAUAUAAAUUAAUAAUCUGGAGCUUUGGUUGUUCUUCUUCUAAUAGCAGAAGGAUAACUAAAGGUAUCUGUAGCUGUCUUGUACUUCUCAAUUUCAUCAAUAAUCAUGUCAACUUUUGCUGAAUCUUGUUUCAUUUUAUGAAUGCAUGAAAACAAGCCUGAAUUCACUUUUUCAUCACGCUCAAUUCUCAACUUGUUUGGAUAAAAAAAUUCAGGAUUCAAGAAGUAUCUGGUACCACGCAAAGGACGAUGCAAUUAAAUUGACCAUCUUGCAUCAAUAAUCUCAAAAAUAUUCUUGUACUUCUCUUCAUUGUGGGUUGGCAAUAGUUUCUUUAGUCUUAUCCAUAGCUUCAUAAAUAUAUCCCAUGGCUAGUUUUUUUUCAUUAUCAACCAGUUGAAGUAUACGAACAAGAGGACCAGAAACCUUAAGAGCAUAUACAAUAUGAUUCCAGAAGGUGGGACUCAAAACUGUUCUUUCACACUUUUUGCCUUUUACUUCUUUAGCCUAUUUACUAGUUGUCCAGUUCUUUGAAAUAAACAUUUUUCUAAUGUUGGCCUUCCGCAAAUGAAUCCUUCCCAAUGUAAUGAAGCAGUAGCAAAUCUAGUUUGUCCUGGCCUUAACAAUUCUACUCCUUUAGUAAAAUUUCGCAACAUAUUCAGAACUCUUGAAGAGCCGUAUAUAAAACCAGUAAGCUCAAUAGUUUUGCGAAAUGUUUCUUCGAAAAUCCUUAUCUUAAAAAUAUCUUCCAACAUCAAAUCUAUAUAAUGGGCUGCACAUUGAGUCCAGUAUAGAUGAGGAAAAUUUGCUUUCAAUAUUCUCAUUGUCAUAAACAAAUAGAUAAUUCAUUUCAUUAAUAAUAAAAAUAAAUAAAUAAAUAAAUAGAUUUUUCUUUAAUAGAUAAUAUCAAAUAAAAACUUUACUUGCUGUAACAUUAUUUGAUGCAUUAUUUGUAACAACUUGAACUACUUUUUUAGUACCAUUUUCCAUUAAAUCUUUCUCAAUCAAACUAGUCAAUAACGCUGUUGUCUUUGAUUCAUCACUAGCAUCAAUUGAUUUAAUAAACACGUUUGUUUUAAGCUAUUAACUAAGAAAUUAAUCAAGGUUUUCCUUUUUUUUUAUCCGUCCAUCCAUCACACAACAUUGAACAUCUAUAAUUUGCCCAUUCUUCUUUAUGAGACUGAAGAAGUUCGUUUGUGGUCUGCACUUCCUUGUUAAGUAACUUAACUCUAACCUCAUGAUAGUUUGGAGUUUUCAUUUCCCUUCCAUAAUUUCCUAUAGCUUGAAUCAUUUUCCCAAAACUAUCAUAAUUCACAGCAUUAAAAACUAUUCUUACAUCAUACAUCUAUCGUGCUAUGACAAUACAAGCACGCUGCCUUAACUCCUCAGCUGGGCUACUUUUAUCAAUAGUAGUUUGCCUCACAUUUUUUUAUAUAACAACUAGUUUGGGGGAAAAAAUAAGCAUUAAUAGGCCCUCUAUUGCUUUGUGGUUAUAGAACUUUUGCUCUUUUUGAAGCACUAGUACCACUACCAUGAAUUGUUUCCCAUUGUUUUCCACUAUCAAUUUCUUGUACCACAUCAUCAUUUUCCUCUUUUUCAUCAAUUUCUAGUAAUCCAACAUCCUCAAAUUUAGGUGGUCUUUCCAUAUUUAUGACUGAUUUUUUCUCUCAUUUUUUACUAAUGAAGUCCUGCAUUUGACUCCUCACAUCUUCUGGACAUUUUGGACACAGAACCACAUUUUUAUAACCUCUAGCAAGGUGCUGCUUGUUUCUAUUAACUCUCCCUUUAUAAACUCUCAUACAAUAAAUGCAUUGAAGAUCAUUCGUAUCAUUUUCGUUAACUUGAAUCAUAUGUGCCCAUCCUGGGUCCGUUUUUUUCCUGCCAGUAGAAGAUCUAGUUGUAUUACACUUAUCACUUAUCUAUGAUUUAACCAAAAAAAAAAGUAACAUAAUUAAGAAGCAACAAAACAACGCUAUAAAGGUUGUGCUAUCUCAAUUCAAUACUAGCAACAAAAGCAACAAAUAUAAGAAAAUAAGAAAUUAAAGCAACAACUAUCAAUUCAAGCAAAUAAGAAAUUAAAUAAUUAAACAUUUGAUUUUUUUCAAUAAUUUGCAUAAUUAUACAUCAUGCUAUAUUGUUAUAUUUAAAAAGCAUUUAUAAUACUAACAAUAAUGCAACAUAGAGAAGAAAAUUACAAAUUAAUUAACUAAAGCAAUAAUUCUCAAUACUUCCCCAAACUCCCAAUUCAAGCAAAUAAGAAAUUAAAAUAUUAAACAUUUGAUUUUUCAAUAAUUUGCAUAAUUAUAUAUCAUGCUAUAUUGGUAUAUUUUAAAAGCAUUUAUAAUACUAACAAUAAUGUAACAUAGAGAAGAAAAUUACAAAUUAAUUAAUUAAAGCAAUAAUUCUUAAUACUUCCCCAAACUACCAAUUCAAGCAAAUAAGAAAUUAAAAUAUUAAAAAUUUGAUUUUUUCAAUAAUUUGCAUAAUAAGAAAUUACAAUUUACACAUUAAGAGCAUUAAUACCCAUUUAAUAAAAACAUCUCCCAUAAUCACAAUCACAAUACCCAUUUAAUUAGCAUAUCACAUAAUACCCAUUUAAUAAUAUAAUCACAUCACACUAAAUUUUUAAUAAAUUUAACAAAAAAAAAAAAUGCUGGAACCUGGAAUAGGUAGAGCAGCAUGCUAGCAUGAUAUGAGAGCAGAGCAGAAAAAUGAAGAGAAAAAAAUGAUCGCAGCAGUGAGAGGAUAAGAGCAGAUGAGAGUGAGAGGAGAAGAAUGUGAAGAUGAGAGAGAGAGAGAGAGAGAGAGAGAUGACAUACCUGGUUGUUGGUUUUGGCUUGGUCUUGGUGGCUCGCUCUAUUCUUGGCUUCUUGCAAUUGCUGGUGAGUAAGUCACGAUAGAUUUUUAGGGUUGCUUUUAUUUUUCGGCUGUUAGGGAAACAAAAAAAAAAAAAAAACAAAACUUCCCGUGCCGCCUUGUGGCCUUGUUGACUGUCGCCUCACAGGUCCAGGGCAGCUGCCUUUUUGCAGUUGCCUCGCCUUGGCUUGGGAAGUUGCAGAAGCCUCGCCUCGCUUCGCCUCUUGACUCGCCUGGCGCCUUUGCUCGACUUAUACAACACUGAUUCCUUGUAAAACCACUUCCUUCCUUCUGAAAACUAAUAUGAGAAUUCUUGAAAUAAAACAGAAUAGGAUUGAAUAAUUUCAUCCCAUCAACCCCAAGUGUUACAUCAAAGCUGCCCUUUCCAGCAAUCUGAAAUCAAAACUGAAGCCAUAUUGCUGAAUUUUCCAACUAAAUGUAGGGCACAGAUAAGAACUUGCAAUUUUCCUUCCAUCACUACUGUUACAGAAAUUGCAGCUAUCUCCACAAGAGGAAUCUUAAGCUCUUUGGCAACUUUUGCAUCCAAGAAACCAUGGGUACCGCCACUAUCUACCAGUAUCAACAACUCCCUAUUCUUAUGCUUACCAAGAACCCUUAUAGUUUCAACUGCUUGAAUACCUUCUAUAGCAUUGAUGGAAAGAGUUAUUGCUUCAGGAUUCUCAGGGAAAUACUUCUCUCCACAUCUGAAACAAGGUCUAGGCUAUAUCAAAGUAUUAUUGUUGGUAGAAUGGUUUAUGGAAUUGGCAGGGGUGGUCUUAUUUGCUGGCUGAUUAUCAGAACUUUGGCUAACAGAAUUUGAGGUUUGGUUACAGCAUUGUUUUGUUUCAAGUUGGUAUUUUGAUUUGCAAUUGGUGGUUUAGGUGAUAAGGGUAAUUUUGAUUAAAUGCAGUAGUUUUGUAGGUACUGGAUAGUGAUGAAGAAGCAUUACUGGGUCUAACAGUACCCUGAUAGGGUUUUGAAUAAGAAGUGGGUUUUCUGGUAUUGUUCAAGAACUGUUCUUGUAGUUUUGCAAUUUCAAAGGCUUGAGAUAGAUUGGUUAACAUAAACAUUCUCACCACAAGUCUAAUAUCAUCCCUCAGUCCCCCAACAAAACUUGACAGAAAAUAAGCUUCACCAAGAUUAGGCAUCAUCCUUUCCAACCUAAUUCUAAUAUCUUCAAAUUUAUCUUGAUCCUCCUCGAGAGUGCCUUCCUGUCUCAUCCUCAUCAAUUCUUUCACUACAUCUCCUAAACCAUCAUCCCCAAAUCUUCCACAAACUCUUUUUUAAAAUCUUCCCAAGAAUGGCCUCCAUCUCCCUUAAUCCAGUUGUAAUACCAUGCAUCAGCCCUUUCAAUAAAAAAUAAACUUGCUAUUCCCACUUUAUGCUCCUUAGGUACUCCAUACACUUCAAAAUACUUGACACAUUUUCUCAGCCAAACCCUAGGUUCCUUACCAUAAAAAAUAAUCAAUUUGACUUAAGGUAAAAUUUUAGACAUGCCUUCCAUAUCAGUUGUUGAUCCAAAACUGUUAAUCCCUUUCCGCAGCUGAAUAUCAUUCUCCCUUGGAGUAGGAAGAAUUCCCUCCCCCCCAAGAUUGAUCAGAGAUGCUCCAGCCUUUUCAUUUUCUCCUUGAUUAAUUCCCCUACUUUUCUCGAGUAAAUUUCCUCCAAAGAUGGAUCGCAAUUCCUCCAAGAGAGCAUUCCUUGAGUCGAUUAUCCCUUGCUACACACCCUUCUGUACACUCUGCUUAAUUUCCUCUUUCAAUUCAUCCUUGUUCUUUUGAGUCUCUUUUUGCAAAGCCUUAACUACCUCUUCCAAUUCAGAGAUUCUUGAUUCCUGAGUAACCACCCCAGACCUAGCUAGUCAUUCUUGCGACACCCUAGAUCCACAAAUGAAGCUACUCCCACAUGCAACUCAGCUCUGAUACCAAAGUGUUAAGUAUCAGCUUUGUAACAGUAAUUCAGUAGAGAAAUAGAAGACAGAUGAGGAGAGAAUAGAGAAAGAGAUGAGAAAGAGAGCAGAUUUAGAACAGAGAAGAAUAGAGAAAUAGAAGAGAGAGAAUGAGUUUCUGUUAUUGAUUAUUCGAAUGAAUGAAUACAAAGAUUGCUUAUCUAUUUACACAAGAGCAGUUAGAAGUAACUGCUACCUAUACCAGAUCUAAACAGAUUCUGUAAGCCUCUAUUAGGUCUAAACAUAUUCUGUUGUAACCACCUCUAACAAGUCAACAAGACUUAACUACCCCAGCUACCUUUCCCUCCACUCUUAACUACCUAUUCCUCUUCCUCCUAUAAUACCUAACAUACAACUGUUUGAUGAUCUGAGUGUGAGAGAGAAUUCCCUCUGUUUUGUGUUUAUAUUUAUGUGAUCAUAAUUUUCUCAUAUUUUGUUCAUAUGGGCUUGUCGGAAUAUGGAAUAUACUUUAUGUACUUUGUUCUUUAAGCUGGCAUGGUUAUGCCAAGGAUUAUUGUGCUUCAAAAUCAGUGAUAUUAUAGUUAUCUGGUGAUAUAUUUGAAGCUGUAGGAGAAUGAGAAAUAGAAAAGGAUGCCAUAGGUGGUUCAUUUUUGAAGGUUGUAUUUUUUUAGUUUGUUUCGUCUACCCUUAUUGUUGGAGUAGAGUUUGAUAUGUUAUAUUGAGCUGAAGAACUCUUAUGCAUACAUGUUAAAGGCAAGCAUUAUUUUCUAUGCAAGCUGUGCUGACUGAGAUCCUAUGAGAUUGUUUUGAGUGAAAUUAUUUGCCCUUUUUUGGGUUCU